rnacentral:rRNA from 1 species
GGAGGAUGCGAGCGUUAUCCGAAUUUAUUGGGUUUAAAGGGUGCGUAGGCCGGAGAUCAAGUCAGCGGUAAAAUUGCGGGGCUCAACCCCGUAGAGCCGUUGAAACUGGUUUUCUUGAGUGGGCGAGAAGUAUGCGGAAUGCGUGGUGUAGCGGUGAAAUGCAUAGAUAUCACGCAGAACUCCGAUUGCGAAGGCAGCAUACCGGCGCCCAACUGACGCUGAAGCACGAAAGCGUGGGUAUCGAA